rnacentral:rRNA from 1 species
UACGAAGGGGGCUAGCGUUGCUCGGAAUUACUGGGCGUAAAGCGCGCGUAGGCGGAUUGUUAAGUCAGGGGUGAAAUCCUGGAGCUCAACUCCAGAACUGCCUUUGAUACUGGCGAUCUCGAGUUCGGGAGAGGUGAGUGGAACUGCGAGUGUAGAGGUGAAAUUCGUAGAUAUUCGCAAGAACACCAGUGGCGAAGGCGGACUCACUGGCCCGGUACGUGG